rnacentral:rRNA from 2 species
CGACCCCAGGUCAGGCGGGAUUCACCC